ACCACGGCCUUUUUUAAAGCUAUCAACAUUUUGAAAAAAAUACAGU
rfam:Triticum aestivum genome assembly, contig: Triticum_aestivum_CS42_TGACv1_scaffold_194451_3AL